AGAGUUUGAUCCUGGCUCAGAACGAACGCUGGCGGCGCGCCUAAUACAUGCAAGUCGAGCGAGAAGACGUAGCAAUACGUUUGUAAAGCGGCGAACGGGUGAGGAAUACAUGGGUAACCUACCCUCGAGUGGGGAAUAACUAACCGAAAGGUUAGCUAAUACCGCAUACGACUCCUGGUCUGCGGAUCGGGAGGGAAAGCGAUACCGUGGGUAUCGCGCUCUUGGAUGGGCUCAUGUCCUAUCAGCUUGUUGGUGAGGUAACGGCUCACCAAGGCUUCGACGGGUAGCUGGUCUGAGAGGACGAUCAGCCACACUGGCACUGCGACACGGGCCAGACUCCUACGGGAGGCAGCAGUAAGGAAUAUUGCGCAAUGGGCGACAGCCUGACGCAGCGACGCCGCGUGGGGGAUGAAGGUCUUCGGAUUGUAAACCCCUUUCGGCAGGGAAGAUGGAACGGGUAACCGUUCGGACGGUACCUGCAGAAGCAGCCACGGCUAACUUCGUGCCAGCAGCCGCGGUAAUACGAAGGUGGCAAGCGUUGUUCGGAUUUACUGGGCGUACAGGGAGCGUAGGCGGUUGGGUAAGCCCUCCGUGAAAUCUCCGGGCCUAACCCGGAAAGUGCGGAGGGGACUGCUCGGCUAGAGGAUGGGAGAGGAGCGCGGAAUUCCCGGUGUAGCGGUGAAAUGCGUAGAGAUCGGGAGGAAGGCCGGUGGCGAAGGCGGCGCUCUGGAACAUUUCUGACGUUGAGGCUCGAAAGCGUGGGGAGCAAACAGGAUUAGAUACCCUGGUAGUCCACGCCU
rnacentral:rRNA from 1 species